CGGACGGGUGAGUAACACGUGGAUAACCUACCUAUAAGACUGGGAUAACUUCGGGAAACCGGAGCUAAUACCGGAUAACGUGUUGAACCGCAUGGUUCAACAGUGAAAGACGGUCUUGCUGUCACUUAUAGAUGGAUCCGCGCCGCAUUAGCUAGUUGGUAAGGUAACGGCUUACCAAGGCAACGAUGCAUAGCCGACCUGAGAGGGUGAUCGGCCACACUGGAACUGAGACACGGUCCAG
rnacentral:rRNA from 1 species